rnacentral:lncRNA from 1 species
AUCAGUAAGCUCAAUUUCAUCAUCCCUGUUAACUUUGAUUCUCUCUGAAUAUGGAGGACUCUGCUUAUUUUCUCUAGGUAACACAAUCAUUCGGUUGAAAAUCUCUCUCGAGCCCUCCUUAUGAUUAGUUCUGGUUUCCAUUUCCUCUUUUUCUUCACCAACCUCUUCUUCCUUAUAAUUCUCAUCUUAUUCAUCUUCUUCAUCUUCACUGCUCAUGGGUUCAAAGAAUUCACCCAUUAACAUCUCCUCCUCUUUACUGUUCACCACAUGCAAUGGUUCAAUGUCUACUUCCCAACCAUCCUGGCUUUCUACGUCCCAACCAUCCUGGCUUGUGAUAAUCUUGCAUUCCCUCUUAGGGUUAGCCUUAGUGCUGGCCCUAAACUGGUUUUUCUCUGUAAUUUCUAUUCUUGAUGCCAGCUGCCCAAUCUGUGAUUUGAAACUGGCCUGAUUGCUAUUUACCUGCUGCUCAUAUCUUUUGUAGAAGUCAUCAAAUCGACUACUCAAGGUCCUGACAGACUCAGUCAAAUUACUUACUUGUUGCCACAAAGGUAACGGUUGUUGCUGCCGGAAGUUUCCUCCUUGUCCAGAAGAAGUAUUCUAGCUUUGCCCAAUACUUGGAUGAUUUUUCCAACCUUGGUUAGAAUUACCUUGGUUGAAAUUUCCCUGCUUGUACUGAAAUUGGGCCCCAUAUAAUUCACGUCCUGUUGCA